rnacentral:lncRNA from 1 species
UUACACAAACAAAACAACAAAACUACAUACGAACGCAAACAAGAUCGCCUAAAAAAAUGUUUAAAAAAAAAUGUAUCCUUUUGUCGCACAGAUUACUCCUUUUUAGACAACAACAAAGCAUUUUCUGAUUUCACAAUCAUUCUCUCUUUUUUUCCGUUGCCAUCUUCCUCUGUCACAGACACACACCCACACGCAAGGGACGCUGUGACGUUUUCACAAACCGCUAUCCCGGAUUCGCCGCCACAUCCCGGUACUCUUUUCUCCGCCGCCCUUGAAAGAGAACGUCCUAUGUGAAAGUCAGUCGUGCACUUUUUUUUUUAACCUGUCGUGUGUGUGUGUGUGUGUGUGUGUGUGUGUGUGUGGAACAAAAUACAUUUCCUAACGCAUAAUAGUCAUGUUGGAGCUGCAUAGAUCCGUAUAAAUGUGUCAGAUUGUGUGGGAUAGCACUAGUUGGUCCCUGGAGACUGCUGUCUGGUUGGAGAGUCACCUGCUCCCCUCCAUGGAGACAGACCAGCAUGAUCAACAGUCGGCUGGAGGGAGUUGGUGGUUACGGUUACAGAAGUCAUCAAAAGAGAGCGCCUGGGGAAUAGGAGUGGAGCUAGGCACUGCAGGUCCUGGAUUAACCUCUACAUCACCAGAGGAACAGAGGAGGAGUUGGUGGUUGACCCAUCAGAGGAGUUGUAUUUAUGGAUGGCUACAGGUCAUGACCUUUCCCAUCUUCUACGUCUGGGUUCUCUUCAUCUGCAUAUGCUUACAUCAAAUGUAGCCUAUGGCUGGCCGGUUAUCCAUUUCAAGGGGUUCGCUUCGUGUCAAUGUACUGUUUCUCUGUUUCUCUGUUCUUCUUCUGUUGUUUAUUUUUUUGUGUUUUUCCUCUUUGUGUAAAAUAUGUUGAGACCUUGUACACAUGAAAUAAAUUGUGAUUUGAUUGGAAAGAUAAUAAAGAGAAGAAUAAAUAGACCACCUCAUAGACCAUUUUAUUUUUUAAACCAAUUGAAAUGUUAAUUUUGUGGAUAUUUUCUAUGUUAUUUAACAUUAUUUUAAUGAGACAUGAUUACCUGCAAUAGAUGAAUCGUACGUGGCACUGUGGCUUACACUCGGCUACUUCUCUGACCAAUUAUUUCACAGAUAAUUGUAUGUUUGGGGUACAGAGAUGAGAUCAUCCUUCACAAAUCAUGUUAAACACUUUUAUUGCAUCCCGAGUGAGUCCAUGCAACUUAUUAUGUGACUUGUUAAGCACAUUUUUACUCCUGAUGUUAUUUAGGCUUGACAUAACAAAAGGCUUGAAUACAUAUUCGCUCAAAACAUUUUCAGCUUUACAUUUUUUAAUAAUUUGUAAAAAAAAAAAAAAAAAAUUCUAAAAACAAAAUUCCACUUCCAAAUUGUGGGGUAUUGUGUGUCGAUCAGUGACACGGGCUUUAACACAAGAACACGUGGAACAAGUCAAGGGGUGUGAGACGGAGGGGGC